CAGAAGAUAGUUUAAAUAAAAUUUUAGUUUUGGGAAUUAAAGAUAAAAUAAUAAUUUUUCUUCUGA
rnacentral:tRNA from 1 species